rnacentral:tRNA from 1 species
CAGUAGCUCAGUUGGAUAGAGCAACGGCCUUCUAAGCCGUGGGUCGAGGGUUCGAAUCCCCCCUGA